rnacentral:rRNA from 1 species
GUGUCAGCCGCCGCGGUAAUACGUAGGUGGCAAGCGUUGUCCGGAAUUAUUGGGCGUAAAGGGCGCGCAGGCGGUUUUACAAGUCGGUCUUAAAAGUGCGGGGCUCAACCCCGUGAGGGGACGGAAACUGUAAAACUGGAGUAUCGGAGAGGAAAGCGGAAUUCCUAGUGUAGCGGUGAAAUGCGUAGAUAUUAGGAGGAACACCAGUGGCGAAAGCGGCUUUCUGGACGAUAACUGACGCUGAGGCGCGAAAGCCAGGGGAGCGAACGGGAUUAGAUACCCCGGUAGUCCUGGCCGUAAACGAUGGAUACUAGGUGUGGGAGGUAUCGACCCCUUCCGUGCCGGAGUUAACGCAAUAAGUAUCCCGCCUGGGGAGUACGGCCGCAAGGCUGAAACUUAAAUGAAUUGGCGG